GGGGCGUGCGGCCGGCCGGGGCUCCAGGAGUUGCCCGCAUGGGCCGGGCGGCGACGAGACCCCAGCCAGGGUGAGCACCUCCCCGCGCCCCUGCCGGCAGCCCGGGGUCUCUGACCCGCUUACCUGCGGCGGCGGCGAAGGCGGCCGCGGCUCCUCCCGCCCGGCCCUGCCCCUCCUCCCCCGCCGGGUCCCGCCGCCCCGCGCUGGUCCGGGCCGGUCUCGCCGCCCGAGCGCUCCAGUUCCGGGCCUGCCGGGCGGACGUGCGUCGGUGCGAGGCGCGGGACCGGCUCAGGCGCGCGAGCGGCGUGUCCCGGCCCGGCUCUCCCACGGCGACGGGGCUGCGGGCCUCAGGAAGUGACGGGCGGCCCGCGGCGCGAAACUUGGUUCGUGGGUAUAUUUGUCCGCCACGGAGCUGCAAGGCUUCGGGGCGCCAGAGGCGGGGCCCUUCUCGGUUGGACCCUGCAGAAGCUCCGCGAAGGCCUCCGGUGGAGGGCCGAAAAGCGCCUGGAUGGACAUCGUCAAAAAAUCCUUUCUGUAAAGUUAAAGGACGAGCCACAGGAAAAAUCUUACCGCAUGUGUAUAAAUGAAGCACUUCGAAGUUGACAGAAAUGUAAAAGCCUGGAGAGUGGCUUGUCUUCUGCUGCCUUGACCCUGCCUUGACCCUGGGAAUCGUGCCUGGCACCUGAUAGUUGCUCAGAAUCAUUUAAUGGAUGAAUCAAUGGAUCUCAUUUCCCCAGCAACUCGGUGAAUUCUCAUCAAGCCCAUUCUACAGGCAUGGUGCAUCUACUGUGGCAGGAACUAAAACCUGGUCCCUUCUGGAUGAACUUACCUCUUCCUGUGCCCAGCUGGAGAGACAGUCCCACCCCUGCCUAGAACUUCAGUGACCCCACUCCCACCCCUGCCCCAUCCACAUCUCCGUCCCUAUCUGUUGGCCUCCUCUGCCUACAGCUCCGCAUCAACUCGCCUGCCCUCCUCCAGAUGUAGUGGAAAUGCCUCUGCUUCCCUGUCUCCCCCACCCCCCACCCCAGCCAAUGCUUACUCUCAUUCAGUUCAAGGGUGUCUCUUUCUUAAAGCCUCCAUUUUGCAGGAUGGAAUCACUCACUGACUCACCACCUUGACCCCAAAGGUCUCUGCAGAUGUUUCUACUGUAACAUGGAUGCUCUACUGAUCUGCUAACAGCACUGCCUUCCAGCAGAAGGGCCUGGUCUUUUCUGCAUGGGUAUCCCCAAUACCCAAACACCAAGAGAGCUUUUAAAAUCUUUUUUAGGAAAAUAAGUGAAUGGGUGGAGGUGGGAUGUAUGAUAAGAUCCUCCAUGUCUAAAACUUGAGGAUUGUUAACACCCUAACCCCCAAUCAUGUAAAUAAAGUUUUCCACUAU